rnacentral:rRNA from 1 species
UACGUAGGGGGCUAGCGUUGUCCGGAUUUAUUGGGCGUAAAGAGCUCGUAGGUGGUUCGGUAAGUCGGAUGUGAAAUCUCCAGGCUCAACCUGGAGGGGUCAUUCGAUACUGCCGUGACUAGAGUUCGGUAGAGGAGUGUGGAAUUCCUGGUGGAGCGGUGAAAUGCGCAGAGAUCAGGAGGAACACCAGUAGCGAAGGCGGCUCACUGGUCCGGUACUGACGCUGAGGUGCGAAAGCGUGGGGAGCAAACAGG